CAAUGGAAUAAGAAUAACGAAAAAUCUGGAAACCUCAAAAAUAUGUGGAAAUUAAAUAACAUACUCCUAAAUAACUAAUGAUUGAGUCAAAGAAGAAAUCACAAGAAAAAUGAGAUGCAGUACUUGAAGGGAAGUUCACAGCUACAAAGGCCUAUUACAGUAGCUGGGUGAAGAGGCACAUAUUUGUAAUCCCAGCACUCCGGAAGCUGAGGAUCGAAUUCAGGACCUUGCACUCUCCCAGGCGCAGGCACCACUGAGCUAAAUCCCGGGCCCCCAUAGUAAGUUUUUAAAACUUACAUUUACUAUAUUUUUCCAUCACACCUCAUAGAAAGUAUUGGUAAUCAGAUGACCUAGGACUUCCCAACUGCAGCACUGACAUCUAAAAGACAAGAGAGCAAUGCCUUCAAAAUCUGAAGAAACUCCACUCCGCCCAAAGGAACCCAAACAAGGGCUCCAAAAGAUGGCUGCACAGUUCACCGCAAAGGUCACUC
rnacentral:lncRNA from 1 species